UCCGUAGGUGAACCUGCGGAAGGAUCAUUACAGAGUUCAUGCCCUUCGGGGUAGAUCUCCCACCCUUGUGUAUCAUUAUAGAAUGUUGCUUUGGCGGGCCGCGCCUCGUGCGCCUAGAUUCGCGUCUAGCGUGCCCGCCAGAGGACCCCUAAACUCUGAAUGUUAGUGUCGUCUGAGUACUAUUAAAUAGUUAAAACUUUCAACAACGGAUCUCUUGGUUCUGGCAUCGAUGAAGAACGCAGCGAAAUGCGAUAAGUAAUGUGAAUUGCAGAAUUCAGUGAAUCAUCGAAUCUUUGAACGCACAUUGCGCCCCCUGGUAUUCCGGGGGGCAUGCCUGUUCGAGCGUCAUAUAUACCAAUCUAGCCUAGCUAGGUGUUGGGCUUCGCCGUCUGGCGGGCCUUAAAACUAGUGGCGGUGCUCUUAAGCUCUACGCGUAGUAAUUUUCUCGCUAUAGGGUCUUGAGAGAUGCUGGCCAGCAACCCCAAAUUUUUCUAGGUUGACCUCGGAUCAGGUAGGGAUACCCGCUGAACUUAAGCAUAUCAAUAAGCGGAGGA
rnacentral:rRNA from 1 species